AUGCAUGCCAUGAGCUAUCUUGUAGCAACGUCCAUGGCAGUAGGAUUACUCCUCGGUGCCGUCUCCCCAACAGUCAAGGCAGCUUCAGCCAAUGCGACGGCGAGCCGGAACACGACGGCGUCGGCACUGCCACCGUUCGGCACGAACCACACCGUCGGCGACGGUGCCGGGUGGUUGUUUGACGGCAAGGCGAAUGCCUCGGCGGCCAACUACUCGGCCUGGGCAGCCAACCGCACCUUUUACCGCACCUUCUACCUCGGCUUCAGGACCCGCACGGAUAACACGGUCGUGCACACGACCAACGCUACGGUAUACAAGCUCUGCGGCUACGACGGUGGUGCCAUCGGUGGCGGGUGGAAGGCCGAGGAGGCCUUCUUGACGGUGAUGCUAGCUGCGGAGGGCCCAAACUACUUCUUCUCGGACGCCGGCGAGGGGGAGCACUGCCGGAGGGGGAUGCGGUUCGACGUCACUGUGGCGCGCGGCCGCGGCCUCCCACAAACACCACCGUCGUACUACGAGCCCCUGUCCGGCGGGACGGCAGGGAGGGGGCUCGGCGAGGUGGUGCCCAUGUGGGUUGCUGUGAACGUUGGCUUUGCUGUUUUGCUGAUGCUGUGA
rnacentral:rRNA from 1 species